GUCCACGCCGUAAACGUUGGGCACUAGGUGUGGGGCUCUAUCGACGGGUUCCGUGCCGUAGCUAACGCAUUAAGUGCCCCGCCUGGGGAGUACGGCCGCAAGGCUAAAACUCAAAGGAAUUGACGGGGGGCCCGCACAAGCGGCGGAGCGUGUGGCUCAAUUCGAUGCAACGCGAAGAACCUUACCUGGGCUUGACAUGUACGGUAAAGCGGGUGAAAGCCCGUGUGCUUCGGCGCCGUACACAGGUGGUGCAUGGCUGUCGU
rnacentral:rRNA from 1 species